rnacentral:misc_RNA from 1 species
ACGAAUUUCGAUUCGGUCUUCUGUGCUGGUGGCAACACAUGUGCACGUUGAUCGUAAUUCCAUUCUCCUUUCAAUCGUCCAAGUGUGUUCGGUCGGCCUUUUGGGUCGAAGAAGCGUGGCCGUCAGGCUCGUUUCGUUCUGAGCGCACAUUGGUUAUUUCACCCACUCUGGGUUACUCGAAACAAAGAAAACAAAUCAUAUAAAUUAAA